rnacentral:tRNA from 1 species
GGCAUGGUGUAGUGGUUUGAGUGUUGGACUACAACUCUGGAGACCAGGGUUCAAUUCCCAGUUUGGCCA